UACACACCGUGUCGUCUCUCUCCGCACCGGUAUCGCCGCUGACAUCCGUCUGUAGGCUGCUAGACAGCCUGUUUCCCCACCUCCAUCUCCCUCCAACCCCCCCUGUGGUGGUGGAGUCUGCCUGUAGUUCGUAUCCGGGUUGGACGCAGUAGAUGGAAGAACGGCGCUCCACUCGAACGAACUACUUUACCCAGAAGCCCCCGCCAAGCCUCAACUUAUAGAACUGGCUUCUUGGGCUUCGGGAGUGAUUCCCAUUUAAACAAACAGUGCCGAAGAUGGCGGAGAGUUAAUGGUGUAAAGAAGAAAUUAUCGAUCCGCUAGACCGAUACGUCCACAAGGGUGCACUCUGGUUUUCAUAAAGUAACUUUUCAGGGCGAGCAGUCAGGAAUCAUGUCGCUUCUUGAGGUGUUGUGCAGC